rnacentral:rRNA from 1 species
UACGUAGGGGGCGAGCGUUGUCCGGGAGUACUGGGCGUAAAGCGCACGCAGGCGGUCUGCUAAGUUUGGAGUGACAGUUGGUGGCUUAACUGCCAAAGUGCUUCGAAAACUGACAGACUUGAGGGCUUCAGAGGGACACGGAAUUCCGGGUGGAGUGGUGAAAUGCGUAGAGAUCCGGAGGAACACCAAAGGCGAAGGCAGUGUCCUGGGGAGUACCUGACGCUCAGGUGCGAAAGCCAGGGGAGCGAACGGGG